GAUGAACGCUGGCGGCGUGUCUAAUACAUGCAAGUCGAGCGAACGGACGAGAAGCUUGCUUCUCUGAUGUUAGCGGCGGACGGGUGAGUAACACGUGGAUAACCUACCUAUAAGACUGGGAUAACUUCGGGAAACCGGAGCUAAUACCGGAUGAUAUUUUGAACCGCAUGGUUCAAAAGUGAAAGACGGUCUUGCUGUCACUUAUAGAUGGAUCCGCGCUGCAUUAGCUAGUUGGUAAGGUAACGGCUUACCUAGGCAACGAUGCAUAGCCGACCUGAGAGGGUGAUCGGCCACACUGGAACUGAGACACGGUCCAGACUCCUACGGGAGGCAGCAGUAGGGAAUCUUCCGCAAUGGGCGAAAGCCUGACGGAGCAACGCCGCGUGAGUGAUGAAGGUCUUCGGAUCGUAAAACUCUGUUAUUAGGGAAGAACAUAUGUGUAAGUAACUGUGCACAUCUUGACGGUACCUAAUCAGAAAGCCACGGCUAACUACGUG
rnacentral:rRNA from 1 species